CAAGCAGGCCAACUCUAAUAAUUGAUUGUGCCUGGCUUCAAACUGCAUCAAGAUUUCAGGGUGUGAAAGACAGCCACAACUGACUGGCACAGCAGACAGAGGAGCAAAGGAACAGAAGCUCAAGUAUCUUCCAUACUUGUGAUGGCAGAAAGGAGCUGUAGGGAGAAAAGGUGAGAAGAGCAAGCUGAGCAGGUACCAGGAAAGGCACUUUCAGCCUAGUUGAGGAAAUGGGAAACAUGGAGAUGCACACACAAAGAUGUAUGUGGCUUGUAACUAAUGACAGCACCUCCACCUUUUGGGUGAACAAGUCCAUGUGAUUCCCAGGAGAGAUGCUGUGUGCUUAUCCUUAGCAUCCCAGACUACAGUUCACUGGUUCAAAAGCAGCCACUCGAGAAAAGCAUUGUAAAUUAUUUCACCGCUCCUUAACACCCCCAAUGUUUCAAGAAAGAUGGAAAAGGGGGAGGAAUGGACAGUGAAGCCUAGAAGCAAAUGGCAGCCAUGCCUCCUGUCAUCUUGAAGACCACCUACAGGGGCAGAGACAGAGGCCCACUGACACAAAGAAGCUACAACAAAACAAAACAAACCCCAAGAGACUGAGAAGUAAAGUCCUGAUAUACAGUGUGUUCCUCUCCCAUACUAUGAUUCUGCAUUACACAUGCCAGCUUUAGUCUCCAGCCUCCAACCAAGUGUUCUGAGAGUUGUGGAUGGCUAGAUGGUAUGUUCUGUACAUACGGAUUUCUGUUCUUCAAUGCCUAGGAAUACUUCUUUUAAAGGUAAUUAUCAAUUUUAGGUGUCCAGCUGGCCAUGAUCUGGUAUUAAACAGCUAUCUGGGCUGAACAGAAUCCAAACACCAUACCCAACCUCACAAAAAUCUGCACUGAAAAAAACUAGGAUAUUAAGUCAUUAAUAUCACUUAGCAGUGAGGUAAAAAUAUAGAAAGGUUGGCAAGAAGUGGACUUGGAACUGCAACACACCAAAGUCAGAUUGGAGCCGAGUUAAGAAGGAGUAGGUACUAUUACUGAACAGAGGGCUCCAAAGCAUGUGGCACAUGGGCCAUCUGAAAUAUGGAGACUGCUAUCUGCCCUCUAGGAGCCAGUCACAUGGAUUUCUGGGUCUCAUUUGCCCAGUAUUUUGCAGUAAUUCUCUUGUCUUCCCUAGUUUGAUUACACACAUCUCUUCUUUAUUCAGAGAACUCAAAUGAAUCUUCUGUUCCUUCAAGCAUAACAGACUAACCAAAAAUAAUCUUGAAUUCCUGAUAUUCUUUUCAGAGAUGCCAAUCUGUGAACUCAGACUAAAUGUUUAGCUCCUGUGUUACAACACCUCCCUUCUGGAUUACUAUUUAGUGUGAUCAUGUCAAGACUACCAACAAAUUUAUAGUUUAGGUAUCAGAACCACCUUUAAUGGACUGGGUGUCACAAACAAAAAUGUAACUUAAAAAACCAUAUAAAAUCUGCCCAGCAUCAAUUUCCUUAAUAGAUUAGAAAAUUAAACUGAAUAGUAUCACUGAAGAUACUGGUUAAAUCUCAGCUAUUCAGGAGGCUGAGACAGGAAGACUGCUAAGUUCAAACCUGGUCUGAGCAACUUAGUGAGACUCUGUCCCAAAAUAUAAAUAAAAAGGGCUGGGAAUGUUGUUCAUGUACAGCACUGGGUUCAAUCCCAUUACAAAAAACCCCAAAAGAACCCACCUUAGAUAUCUGAACUGCACUGUCAAUUAUAAAACAUACCUUGGAACAUUUUCAAUUUGCUCUUAAAUGGCACUUUAUUCUUAAAGUACCCAGGACUUUAUAAAUGUCCUAUACCUAAACUAAAUAUCUUCCUUUUAUCUUCCCACAAUGGUACUCGCACACAGGUCCACUUUGGCAGAAAACUGGCAAAGAAUCUCAUGUGAAUUUAAUAAAGCCAACAAAUUUUAAAACUUCCUAAGACCACAGUACUUUUAGAUCUGCAGUAAUAUAACAGAUCUGCCAUCUGUUCCCAGGCAAUCACCAAAUAAAAAUCACAGUAUUAUGGUGUUGGUAUCUUUUAUAGAGUAUUUUCUGCUCUUUUUCACUAAUCCACCACCAUCAUCUAUAUAAAAGAGAGCAGAGAGACAUGAGCUACUCAUACAUGCCACAACAUGGAUGAACCUUGAAAACAUUUUGCUUAGUGAAAGAAACUAGUGAUAAAAGGUUACAUAUUGUAUAAUUUCAUCUGUAUGAAAUGUAUACCUGUAGGUUAACUUUAGCAAAGUUAUUAACUUUAUCAUAUUAACAUCUGACUUUUUCAGAAAGUCCAGGAAUAGGCAACUCUAUAAAGCCAGAAUGUAGAUUAGUGACUGCCUGAAGCUGGAAGGAAGGGAAAAUGGGAAGUAACUGCUAAUGGUGUAUGGGAUUUCUUUUUGGAGCCACAAAAUGUACUAAAAUUAGAUAAUGGUGACUGUUGCACAGCUCUGUAUGUUUAAAAAUUACUGAAUUGUGUAUUUUGAAGGGGUAAGCUUUAUGAAAUGCACAUUUUGUCUCAAUAAAGUUGGUAUUUGAGAGAUGUGGGAGGGAGGGAGAGGAAGAGAGGGAAAGAGUGAAUAAGCAUGUACUGAGGUCACCGACAGAGAAGAACGUGGGCUUCUGGAAGGGUGAGGCAGAACAGGGGCUGGGCUAGGAAGAAGGAUCAGCCAUGUGGUAUUCAAAAGCAGGAAAGAAAGAGGUCUAUAGCAGUGAGAAGAAAAGGGGAUGGAGGGGAAGGAAACCAGAGGAAUCUGUACUCCCUAAAUAGAAAGAUUACUAUGUUCCUAUGGUCAGCUAUUUGUAUGUGAAAAAUAAAUCGAGGGUAUAAGCUGGGAGUAUACAUAAUGAUCUGAACAGACUUCCUCUUCAGUAGUUUUCACAAACAACUUCACAAACAAUGACAGCAUAUUUAUUAUGUGCUAGGGACCAUGCCAGUCUCACAUUCCCAAACAUUGCAUAAUUUAAGGCAACAGCCUCAGGAGUGGAUGCAGAAAAUAAAAGGUAGUUAUUAAAUCCCUGUUAGUCCUAACUGUAGUAUGGUAUAUAAGUACUAAAGGGUCACGUAGUAACCCAUAAAU